rnacentral:misc_RNA from 1 species
GAUGAAGAACGUAGCGAAAUGCGAUAAGUAGUGUGAAUUGCAGAAUUCAGUGAAUCAUCGAAUCUUUGAACGCACAUUGCGCCCCUUGGUAUUCCAUGGGGCAUGCCUGUUCGAGCGUCAUUUGUACCUUCAAGCUCUGCUUGGUGUUGGGUGUUUGUCUCGCCUCUGCGUGUAGACUCGCCUCAAAACAAUUGGCAGCCGGCGUAUUGAUUUCGGAGCGCAGUACAUCUCGCGCUUUGCACUCAUAACGACGACGUCCAAAGGUACAUUUUUACACUCUUGACCUCGGAUCAGGUAGGGAUACCCGCUGAACUUAAGCAUAUCAAAGCGAGGA